UACGUAGGGUGCAAGCGUUGUCCGGAAUCAUUGGGCGUAAAGGGCGCGUAGGCGGCUUGGUAAGUCCGCUGUGAAAGUCCAGGGCUCAACCCUGGAAAGCCGGUGGAAACUGUCAAGCUUGAGUCCGGAAGAGGCGAGUGGAAUUCCUGGUGUAGCGGUGAAAUGCGCAGAUAUCAGGAGGAACACCAAUGGCGAAGGCAGCUCGCUGGGACGGUACUGACGCUGAGACGCGAAAGCGUGGGGAGCAAACAGG
rnacentral:rRNA from 1 species